UACGUAGGCAGCAAGCGUUGUUCGGAGUUACUGGGCGUAAAGGGUGUGUAGGCGGUUGUUUAAGUUUGGUGUGAAAUCUCCCGGCUCAACUGGGAGGGUGCGCCGAAUACUGAAUGACUAGAGUGCGGGAGAGGAAAGUGGAAUUCCUGGUGUAGCGGUGAAAUGCGUAGAGAUCGGGAGGAACACCAGUGGCGAAGGCGGCACCCUGGACCAGCACUGACACUGAGGCACGAAAGCGUGGGGAGCAAACAGG
rnacentral:rRNA from 1 species